UGGGGCGUGGCCAAGUGGUAAGGCAACGGGUUUUGGCCCCGUCAUUCAGAGGUUCGAAUCCUUUCGCCCCAG
rnacentral:tRNA from 1 species